UGGAGUUUAUUGCUGGGGACAUGAUGGAGUUCAUUCCACCUGCAGACUGCAUUUUACUCAAGUACGUGCUGCAUAACUGGACCGACGAGGAUUGUGUGAAGAUCCUGACACGAUGCAGAGAGGCCAUUUCCCAUCAUAAAAAUGGGAAGAUCAUCAUCAUUGAUGCAGUGGUUGGGUCUCCCUCACAAGAUCUAGACCUACUCCAAACUCAACUCCUGAUGGAUAUGGAGAUGAUGUCAUUAUUUAUGGCAAAGGAACGAUAUGAGCACGAGUGGAACAAAAUAUUCGCCGAAGCAGGAUUUAUUAACUACAAGAUUCAACACACCCUAGGUCUGCGAUCGGUCAUUGAACUCUACAUAUAAGUACUUGUUGAUCCAUAGAUCAAUCUACUGAGUAAUAAAGGGCCAUGUACACCAAUCAGUCCAUCUAGAGGCCGGGCUAUCCCCUUUCCGAAAUAAAAGUUCGAUCUACCUAGCGAGUAGUAUCCUUGUGUCAUGUUCCAGUUUGCUUUGUAAUAAAAACAGAGUGUGUCAGUACAACUGCUACUUCCCAGUC